rnacentral:lncRNA from 1 species
UUUUUUUUUUUCCAUCAUAGCUGAUUUACAGUGUUCGGUCAAUUUUUGACUGUACAGCAAGGUAACCCAGUCACACAUUCAUAUAUAUAUUCUUUUUCUCACAUUAUCAUGCUCCAGCAUAAGUGAUUAGAUAUAGUUCCCAUGCUAUACAGCAGGAUCUCAUUGCUUAUCCAUUGCCCUGGCAAUAUUCCACACUGAUAAUGAAACCCAUGGCGCCCCAGCUGGUCCCAUCCCUCCAACCUAACAGCUCUCAAGAGCUUCCUGGUCCUCACUGGUACACAUGCUGGGAAAAGUAUGAACUCCUGCUCAAAAGAUGGUGUCCCUAGGAAAUACUGCACCGAUUUUUCUGGCUUCAGGGAGAACAGAGACUGAGUAUUUGCUUAAGGACUCACAAUUUAAACACAUGUUUCUAUUCUGCUUCCUGUUCUUCCACUAUUCUGUUUCCAGGGUGUCAUUCAGGAUGUCAGCCAGUAGGGUUCCUGCACCUUGGAGCAUCUUUGUGAUCCACCUUCCAACCUUGACUUCUAGACCUCUCCCCCAGGCUUGCUCCUUCUUACCUUUCAAAUCUCAAACUCAAUAUUGCCUCCUCCAGGAUCAUUUCCCCCAAGCCGAUAAGGUGUUCUCCCAUCUAAUCACUCCCCACUCAGCACUGUGUUACAGUUACCUGUUUGCUGUACCCACUCUGUGUAUAUCAGAUACCUCCAGCUCAUAGCACAGUUCAUGGCACACAACAGAAAUUCAAAAAGUAUUCAUUGAAUGGUUGACUGAAUGAAAGAAGGUUUCAGACUCCCUAGACAGCAUGUACUGUCACAUAUCAGGACCACAAAGCAGUGGAAGUCACCAAUCUCUUCAGAUCCCUGUUACCAUCAGCAUCUGCUGCUUGACUGGUAACGCCCACAUGGGACGUCCUUCAGAGGUCUGCUUUGGGAAUGGCAGCCCCUACCCUGGAUGGAAAGUAAAGUGCCUGGGAAUUUCCUCCCUUCAUCCAGUGAAGCCAGUGGCUGGCUACUUGUGUUGAAGUACAAAACCCAACUUUCUUUCCUUCCAGGUGGAAUAAGGUCUGAGGGGUAGUUUUUGCUCUAGCACUCCCUGCAGGGUCACAGCGAGGCUGGGGCUGGACUGGAGAUCUCACCCUUACAUUGCCUUAUUCCCUUUUCUGCCCCACUUACCCUACUCCAUCAUCAGUGUUUCGUGGGAGAACCUGAUUCUUGGCUCAGGGCCUUCUUCUGGGAGAAUCCAUUCUAAGAAGAAUUGGCUGAUAAGCAUUUAUUGAGUACCUACUGUAGAUAGAACAUCAUUAUCUGGUAACACCAGAAAGUAAGUUGACUUGCGCUUGACUUCCUUUGGCCUAUAUUCUUAGGGACAGUGCAGUUCUAAAAAUAUUGGACUGUUAAUGAUCCAUUUAAACUAGCCCUUACUUCUUUUGGAAUUUUUAGAAUCACAACUUAACCACAACAGUGUGUAGCCAAAAAUUUUUUUUAAAUGACUCCCCAAAAAAAUCAAUAGCCUUUUCUCUGAAGCCUUAGAGAAGGUGCCAAGUCUG